UUCUCUUCUGCAAGGGCUGGUGAUCUCGUCACCAUGCUGUGGGCUCCCCUCCUUGUCCUGCUGGGGACCUGGUGCACAGGUGCCAGAUCACAGUCUGUUCUCACUCAGCCGCCCGCAGAGUCAGUGUCCCCAGGAAACACUGUGAAACUCUCCUGCGCCAUGAGCAGUGGGACCAGCAUCAGUGGCUACUAUGUGUACUGGUACCAGCAGAAACCUGGGACCCCGCCCCGGUACCUGCUGUAUUACAAGUCCAAUUCUGACAAGCACCAGGGCUCCGGGGUCCCCGCUCGCUUCUCUGGCUCCAAAGACACAUCCAGUAACACCGGCUACCUGACCAUCACCAGGGUCCUCGCAGAGGACGAGGCUGACUAUUACUGUGCUGUGUGGCACAGUGAUGCUUGUCACAGUGACACAGCCACAGGAGGAAGUAAGGCAAAAACCUCCUCUGCCCUCCCUCAGCCGGGGCUGUGUGGGAGCCAGCAAGGAGCCGUACCAAGGGCAGCAAUCGCCUGUGCAAACACGCCAUGAAGUGUAAGGUCUGCCUCUGAAGGGGAGAGACUGGUUCUCUGCCAACCACCCUGUCUGAGUAGGAUGUAGGAAGCUCUUCCCUUGCUUUCCCCCAUGGAGCCCCUCUGCUCUCUGCCCUUCUCCCUCCUCAUUCUCUGCUCUUUUGUGGAGAGAAGGGACCAACCCUUGUCUCUCCCCUGUGGACACAGACCAUGCACAGACUGGCAGGAGUUGCAGCCCCCAGGGACAGAGGAAGGAAGGAUGGCGGCAGCUCCAGCCACAGCCUCAGUGACAUCCCUCCUCAGGUGUCCAGAGUCAGGACAUUGUCCUGAGCUGCGGAGCUACCCCUCUCCUACCUGACUCCUUACCACCUUCCCAGUGUCACCCACCAUUACACAGCCGCAACCCUGUCCCCUCAGCAUGUGAACAAACUGUUAGUCUCGGAAGAAAUGCCGGCGAGACCCUGGCUUUACUUUUAAGAUGAGGAGCCAGGACAGAGAGAGAUGUGGGGGCAGCAGAGACUUUCCUCUCUGCCCUCAGCUCUGAUUAGAGCACUCACCAAGGUUUGGGGGCAGGGUGAUGACCAUGACAAUGACCUACACCUGCACUGAGGCCUUAGGGGAACGACACUUGAGUCUCUUGGCCCCAGAGGAGCCUUCUCUGUGCACGGAUGGACUAAGUAGAUGCAGCCUUUUGGGUCACUUUGUCCCUGAGACUGGACCGGGUUUUAUUUGCACAUGGAAAAGAAAACAGUUCUUUCCCAUGUCCUUAACUUUCUCUGAGAGUGGCCAGGAAGCAGGAGCCAGAUCUGCACGAAGGGUCCAUUCUCAUCUCCAGAGGUUUAAGUAGAACUCAAAGACCAUUUGGUUCAGGAAGUCAAGCUGAUCUGGAUCCCACCAUGACCUGAGCCCCUCUCGUCCCCGUUCUGGUCACCACACUGGCAUGGUGAGGAAGGGCCUUUUCUAAGUAACUUCCUUGACAGAGGUUUGCCUUUCUCCAGCCUGCUCUUCCUGCAAUGUGUGUUCUCUCUCUACAUUUACUCACAUUUGAUUAUGCCCAAUGUUUUCCCCUCUUGUCCCAGGGUCCCUUGCUCAGAACAUGGUGACUUAGCCACCAUGAGUGUCUGUGUCUCUAGGACAAAGCUAAACUGGCCUCCUCUGAUACAAGAGCUAUUGAAAGAGUGCAGAGUCAGUGUACCAGUAGGAGCCUAUAUGGGUUUCAACUCCAGUUACACAGCUACGCUGCCCAUUGCUGACCUCCAGGCCCAGGAUGAGGCAUUUGCCAGAUGUGGGGCAGCAGCACUUUCCACACUGGCACUGUGCAAUGGGGACAUCAGACCCAACCCUUCUGCUGUCAUACCCCACCCUUACAAUUUAUGUUCACAGCGGUCUGAGAGCCAGGCCUCCAUCCACUUCACUAAAGUAACGGAC